rnacentral:rRNA from 1 species
AUUGAACGCUGGCGGCAGGCCUAACACAUGCAAGUCGAGCGAGCGGCGGACGGGUGAGUAAUGUAUGGGGACUGCCCGAUAGAGGGGGAUAACUACUGGAAACGGUAGCUAAUACCGCAUACUAUCGGAUAACCCAUAUGGGAUUAGCUAGUAGGUGAGGUAAUGGCUCACCAAGGCAACGAUCCGUAGCUGGUUUGAGAGGACGACCAGCCACAUGGGGACUGAGACACGGCCCGGACUCCUACGGAGGCAGCGGUUGGGAAGUUUGGACAAUGGGCGAAACCCUGAUCCAGCCAUCCCGCGUGUAUGAUGAAGGCCUUCGGGUUGUAAAGUCCUUUUGGUAGAGAAGCGGUAUCUGGAGAAUAAGCACCGGCUAACUACGUGCCAGCCGCCGCGUUAAUAC